UAAAGAGGGUGCAAGCGUUAAUCGGAAUUACUGGGCGUAAAGCGUGCGUAGGUGGUUUGUUAAGUCAGGUGUGAAAUCCCCGGGCUCAACCUGGGAACUGCGCUUGAUACUGGCAGACUAGAGUGUGGUAGAGGGUAGUGGAAUUCCCGGUGUAGCGGUGAAAUGCGUAGAUAUCGGGAAGAACAUCAGUGGCGAAGGCGGCUACCUGGACCAACACUGACACUGAGGCACGAAAGCGUGGGGAGCAAACAGG
rnacentral:rRNA from 1 species